rnacentral:rRNA from 1 species
GAUGAACGCUGGCGGCGUGCCUAAUACAUGCAAGUCGAACGCUUCACUUCGGUGAAGAGUGGCGAACGGGUGAGUAAUACAUAAGUAACCUGGCAUCUACAGGGGGAUAACUGAUGGAAACGUCAGCUAAGACCGCAUAGGUGUAGAGAUCGCAUGAACUCUAUAUGAAAAGUGCUACGGGACUGGUAGAUGAUGGACUUAUGGCGCAUUAGCUUGUUGGUAGGGUAACGGCCUACCAAGGCGACGAUGCGUAGCCGACCUGAGAGGGUGACCGGCCACACUGGGACUGAGACACGGCCCAGACUCCUACGGGAGGCAGCAGUAGGGAAUUUUCGGCAAUGGGGGAAACCCUGACCGAGCAACGCCGCGUGAAGGAAGAAGUAAUUCGUUAUGUAAACUUCUGUCAUAGAGGAAGAACGGUGGAUAUAGGGAAUGAUAUCCAAGUGA